CCUACGGGUGGCAGCAGUAGGGAAUAUUGCUCAAUGGGGGAAACCCUGAAGCAGCAACGCCGCGUGGAGGAUGAAGGUUUUCGGAUUGUAAACUCCUGUUGUUAGAGAAGAGAAUGACGGUAUCUAACGAAUAAGCACCGGCUAACUCCGGGCCAGCAGCCGCGGUAAUACGGAGGGUGCAAGCGUUCCUCGGAAUCACUGGGCGUAAAGAGCGCGUAGGCGGGAUCGCAAGUCAGAUGUGAAAUCCUAGGGCUUAACCCUAGAACUGCAUUUGAAACUGUUAUUCUAGAGUAUGGGAGAUGUCGGUGGCAUUCUUUGUGUAGUGGUCCACUCCGU
rnacentral:rRNA from 1 species